AGAAAGAAGUUAAAUGUCUAUUGGCCAGGGGACUUUAGCCAGUAUUAACCACAAACAAUAACACAUCUACAUGCAGUGGGGGCUUUAACAUGUCACAUGACCUUGAUCUUGGUGUGUGUGUGUGUGUGUGUGUGUGUGUAAACGUGGCCGCAGCAUGUUAAAUAGAUGCAUUCUGACAGGAAAUCGAGGAAGACAUGCUGACUGUCAACACUUGACUUUUAACAUAACAAAAUAAGGUCAUAAUUAUCUGUUGAAGCCAUUCAUUGUGCUUAUAUCAGGAACAACUCCACUCCAUCACAAAUCUACUCUAAACAUAAGAGCAGCUAUCCAUUAGGUAUCCUUUUCUGUUCACUUGGGGGGGGGGGGGUGAGUAGUGGGUUGCACUUCACAGCUUAAGCGAAACCGAGCAACUGUUGACUCAGACAGAGUAGGCUAGAGAUGUAAGACAACGAAGAUAAACCAGUUUCCUGUCUCUCUGGUGGUUGGAGCUCACUUCCUGUGCCUCUUCUGCUUCACUCGUUUCACGUUUCUGUCAUCUGUGAGACUUUUGUUCUCACAGAAAUGGAUUUUGUGAUGACAGAGCCAGCUUAUAAACUUCUUAUCUUUUUAUUCAUGAUACGAGGAAUGUACGGAGAUAUUAUAAAUUAUUAUCCCACCGCAACUGCUGUGGAGGGACAGAACAUCAGCCUGCAGUGCAUUGUGGGAGAGGAGCAAAACUUCACAAUUAUCCAGCUGGAGUGGAUUAAACAGCGAAAGGACAAAGAGAUGACUGAUCAGAAGAUUGCUGUGUUCCAUCCUGGGUUCCCAAUAAAUUAUUUUCAAUCUGGUUUUCUUCUGGAGACAGUGACCAGUUCAAAAACUAGGAAGCUGCAGGGCUCAAUCCUGACUCUGCGUGAAGUUAGAGUGAAGGACAGUGGAAACUAUAUUUGUGAAAUCACUUCUUAUCCCACUGGAUCAAUUAAAAGAAUCACAAAGCUGCAAGUUACAGAGCCUCCAGCAUCAGUGAAGAUGUCAUAUCCAUAUGGAUUCAUAAAAGAGGGGGAUGUUAUGAAAAUAACUUGUUCAGCGAUCCCUCCACCACUCCGUUAUAAACUAAAACGUUCAAAGAACAAGAUAUUUUGGCUGGAAAGCUCAAACGGAGAGUUCACUUUACCACAUGUCACCAGAAAUGACAGCGAUAUGUACAUCUGUUUACCUGAAUGGGACUCAUUAGUCCCAAAUCUGCAAGGCCUCAAUGCCACCGUCGAAGUGACUGUCAAUUUUCUUGAUGACAUUAAGUGUAACACAAGCAGCUCUUUAAACGUCAGCGCUGGUGAAGAUGUGGCCAUUUCUUGUAUCGCAAAAGCUUCACAGUACUUGCAGUAUAAGUGGAUGAGGGGUGACACAACACUGUCUCUCUCAGACACUUUGUCUCUGACCUCCGUAACAUCUGAGCAGUCAGGAACUUACAAACUGACAGCUGUCUUUCUGGACAAUCAACUCCAGACAGACAUUGAGAUUUCUAUCCAGGUUCUCCCAAAGCAAAGUGAAGGAAUGACUACACCUUUGCCAGUAAGGACCACCAAACAUCUAAGCAGCUUUACCUCCGAUGGGACCAGCUCAUGGAGCACUGAUACCAGCGUGUCUACAUCAGAAUCUGGUCACUUCCUAACCAGCACAGUGAAACCAAAUGACACUCUGACAACCUUACAACCCAGAAACACCAGCCAUCCCGCUCCUCUCACUGACAGCUCUUCUCCUCCACCUGUUGGCAAUGCCUCUACAUUACAUGCAAGCACUGUAAAAUUUAUCAACACCUCUACAGACAGUUUGAGCACAACUCCAGAUCCAGCUACAAGAGGAAGAGAAAGCCCCACCACAGUUACAACACAGAAAAGCAUCACCGCUUUUACAACACCAAAAGCCUCAAAAAGCUCAGCAUACAUCGCUGUCCCGAUUGUGUUGCUGUUGCUCGGGUUGAUUGUGCUUCUAUACAGAAGACAUCAGAACCAAAAAAGAAUGGAUAUGCCUCCUCCAUUCAAACCUCCCCCACCACCGGUGAAAUACACGUCAAUGAAAAACCAUGAUGUCCCUAUGACUGAUAUUCUAGUGUGAACUCAUCAUACCACAUAUCAUGGGCCACAAAUAUGCUGACAAGAAGAUUUUCCCUAAAGGUCUCAGCUAGAAAUGAAAAUUGGUUCAUCAAUUAUAUUUAAUCAAUACUUUGAUGCUUCAAAAUGUUUAUAAAGACUUUGUAAAUAUUGUCAAUAUGCAACAAAGAGUUUAUUUUCAGUAGUCUUUGUCAGGAUCCAGCCGUUAAGUCUUUUCUGUCCUGUCUUUGUUCAUUAUAUCUGUUUAUUUUGUGCCUGUCUCCUUGUUACUCAUUACCAAGCCCAAGAAAAUAAUUUCACACAUUAGAAAGUUCUUCAAGCAAUCAGAUUCCAUCUUUCAACAGCCCUGUCGUAUAAAUGAUAUUAAUUCCAUGGUUUUGCUACAAAAUAAAAUUGUAUAGCACAUUUUAAAGCACAUACUACUCCUGCUCUCUCUCCAAUACAAACAUACCCACAGUACAAUUACAAACUUGCAAACACAGAAACACAUGCACAUGCACAGAAACAUUUUGUCAGCACUGUGUUGAAUUUUUCUUCAGUAAAUGGUUUAGAUUAGAAACUUAAAAGCUACAUAAUAUUUCUCACUAGUUAGAAAAUAACAGCACUGUUCUUGAAGCAGAUUAAUUUACAGUUUCGCUCUUAGCAGAGACUGCAUCACCUCCUUGGGUGUGCAUUACUUUCUAGCAGGCACGUGCACACAUAGACAUCAAAGGGGGCUUGAGCACCUGCCCUUUUUAUUCCUGGAGAGAAAGUGCCCUUUUUUCUGGGGUGCUUUUUGUUUGUUUUUUUUUUGAAAAAAAUAAUAUAUAUUCCUGUUUGCGCACAGCUUCCCUGUCAAACAAAUAUAUUUAUUGAAGAAUAAUAUAUCUAAAUAUCAGGUCAGGAGUUCUGAAGCGCUCUUCAAUAUUUAUAAAUUAACUUUUUAUUUAUGAACUUUUUUUUAUUUCCUCUAAACCUUUAUAAAAUAAUAUUCUAUACAACCACAAAUACAUACAUGACAUUGGCUUUUAUUUAAUUUUUACUCAAUUAUUUUGGUAAGUUUAAUUCAAACAAUCAAGUAAGAUUUUCUGAGAUUUUAUUAAGUUAAUUAAGUUAAAUAUUUACUAAGCCACAUAAUAUUUUUUGAGUGUAGUAGGUUUAAAACAAACUCCAUCUAAAUGUGGAUUUUGAAGGUUUUAUUUGAUGAUGGUGAUGAUACAGUCCUCCCUCAAAUGUGAAACUAAGUCCUUGUCAGUCACCAUCAGUUAUUGUGUAUGUGUACAUGCAUAGCAAUGAUAAUAUUAAUGUAUUUGAUUUAAAACAUUAAGGCAAUUCAGUAUUCUGAUGCUUAGUUGUGUGAAGCUAAAAAGUUAUUUUGCUUGUGAAACAAAAAGUAUUUAAACAAUUAAUUUUAAUCAUGCUUGCAGUGCAGGGCCAGGCAGGCAGCAUAAUGCAAAGUUAAACAAAAUAGCAGCGACAACCCUCUUCAGUUUAGAGUGAAUAUUUGUGUUGAUUUAAAAGUGUUAUGUGUUCUGAUAACACCAAAAUAACUAAAAUGAUGUAGUGCCUUGUGCAAAAAUAAUAAACAAAUUAUGAGUAAAACACACCCCUCUGCUUGAUGCAGUUAUUUUGGUUAUUCUAAAUAUAUACUUGAAGCUAUAGCAUAGAAAAUGUUUUCAAAACAUGCACAUUGUGGGAUGGUUUCCUUUGCUGCUCUAUAAACCUAGUGAAUACUAAGGAGACCAGGGUUUCUGUGUGAACUGAUUAUUUUGUGGACAUCUUUUGAAAAUUAGAGUUUGAGGAACUUUUUUUAUAAUUUUUUUUAAAAGGAAGUCAGUGUUGCGUUAAUAUAUAUACUUUUUUGUUUUAAAAAAAAAUAAAAAAUAAAUACAUAAUUAUGAGAAGUGCCCUUUAUUUCACUUGAGCCCCUGCCCCUCAAAAUGUC
rnacentral:lncRNA from 1 species